rnacentral:rRNA from 1 species
GGCGGACGGGUGAGUAACGCGUGGGUAACCUGCCAUAUGCUGGGGGACAACAGUUAGAAAUGACUGCUAAUACCGCAUAAGCGCACAGAAUCGCAUGAUUCAGUGUGAAAAACUCCGGUGGCAUAUGAUGGACCCGCGUCUGAUUAGCUGGUUGGUGAGGUAACGGCUCACCAAGGCGACGAUCAGUAGCCGGCCUGAGGGGGUGAACGGCCACAUUGGGACUGAGACACGGCCCAAACUCCUACGGGAGGCAGCAGUGGGGAAUAUUGCACAAUGGGGGAAACCCUGAUGCAGCGACGCCGCGUGAGGGAAGACUGCCCUAAGGGUUGUAAACCUCUUUUGUCAGGGAGCAAGAACUUCAUGCGUGAAGUAGUGAGAGUACCUGAAGAAAAAGCAUCGGCUAACUCCGUGCCAGCAGCCGCGGUAAUACGGAGGAUGCGAGCGUUAUCCGGAUUUAUUGGGUUUAAAGGGUGCGUAGGCGGAUUGUUAAGUCAGUGGUAAAAAUGCGGGGCUCAACCUCGUCGAGCCAUUGAAACUGAUGGUCUAGAGUGAGUGAGAAGUAUGCGGAAUGCGAGGGGUAGCGGUGAAAUGCAUAGAUAUCACGCAGAACUCCGAUUGCGAAGGCAGCAUACCGGCACUCAACUGACGCUGAAGCACGAAAGCGUGGGUAUCGAACAGGAUUAGAUACCCUGGUAGUCCACGCAGUAAACGAUGAAUACUAAUUGUUCGAGCGAACGAGUUUGAGUGAUACAGCGAAAGCGUUAAGUAUUCCACCUGGGGAGUACGCCGGCAACGGUGAAACUCAAAGGAAUUGACGGGGGGCCGCACAAGCGGAGGAACAUGUGGUUUAAUUCGAUGAUACGCGAGGAACCUUACCCGGGCUUGAAUUGCGACUGACUCAAGUGGAGACAUUUGAUUCUUCGGACAGUCGCGAAGGUGCUGCAUGGUUGUCGUCAGCUCGUGCCGUGAGGUGUCGGCUUAAGUGCCAUAACGAGCGCAACCCUUACCGGUAGUUACCAUCGAGUGAUGUCGGGGACUCUACCGGGACUGCCGUCGUAAGAUGUGAGGAAGGUGGGGAUGACGUCAAAUCAGCACGGCCCUUACGUCCGGGGCUACACACGUGUUACAAUGGGAGGUACAGCAGGUUGCUACCCGGCGACGGGAUGCUAAUCCCUAAAUCCUCUCUCAGUUCGGAUUGGAGUCUGCAACCCGACUCCAUGAAGCUGGAUUCGCUAGUAAUCGCGCAUCAGCCACGGCGCGGUGAAUACGUUCCCGGGCUUUGU